UACGUAGGGGCGCAAGCGUUAUCCGGAAUUAUUGGGCGUAAAGAGCUCGUAGGCGGUUUGUCGCGUCUGCCGUGAAAGUCCGGGGCUCAACUCCGGAUCUGCGGUGGGUACGGGCAGACUAGAGUGAUGUAGGGGAGACUGGAAUUCCUGGUGUAGCGGUGGAUGCGCGGAUAUCAGGAGGAACACCGAUGGCGAAGGCAGGUCUCUGGGCAUUAACUGACGCUGAGGAGCGAAAGCAUGGGGAGCGAACAGG
rnacentral:rRNA from 1 species